UCUUCCGCUUCUUUGUCAAGGAAAAUUUCCUGUCGCCACCUUUCGGUUUCAGGCAAUUUCGCUACCUCGCAAUCUAGCCGAUAAAAUGCAACUGAACGCAGUUCUACCUUCGCAUUCAGCCCGAGACCCACUCAUAUAUGGCUAUAUGGCCUAUAGAAUUUGUAUCUGUGCAGUGCACUCUCAUCAGCAUUUGCGACUUGUCAACGCCCCCAACAAAGCGGCGAAGAAAGCGCCGAAAAAAGGAAAACAUGGGAAUUGGCCAACAAUGAUGAAGAUGACUAAGUGAAUGGGUGGACAGGGAGUGGAGGUUGACAUGUAGAUGACAAGGAAGUGAUAUUAUGGCUUUAUGAACGCAAUUGCAGAAGUCAUGAUGCUUUCGAAAGCUAUAUAAUGCUGCCGCUUCAAAUCAGCUGAACUUAUUUUAAAAUAAAACAUCUCAUUAAAUACUUUAAUUCUUAAGGAACGUGGAAGCGAUGGCGUAACAUCAUUAUGGCCAACACAUGUUGAAUUCCAUGCCAUCCAUUUCAGUCGACUUUUCCGUAGUUAGGCAACUAAAAAUAGAAGCAGUUAACUAGGCAGGUCUAUAGCAACGUCCCAACAUCGAUUGCUACUUCUUCACGUAUUCACAUAACCUAAUUAAUUUACGUCAAAGGACAUUUGAUAUGAAUGGGAGCGCAGGGCGUCAAAGGAGCGAAAGGCGAAAGGAGGACCCUCACCCACGCACUCCGGGCAAUUAUAUACACCAGGAAAGGAACGGCUGCGGCUGGUUGACUGGGCUUCCUGGUAGAAGGGUCACGUGGGCGUGGUCAGUUUGGAAAUGCUAACUGGACAUCGGCGAGGAGUGAGCGGCAAUCAAUGCUAAAAUUAAGGACACACGCGAUGAAAACUGAGACGUGCGGUGGGAAAUUUAUGGCGAAACUUGAGGCGGCGCCAGCAGUAAAUGAAAUGAAAAUAAUAUGAAAUGAAAUAAAUGCAAUAAAUUAUGCAAAACGUAGCAAAGAGAAAAAACUUGAACACCAGUUGAAACCGAAAUUGAAAUGGAAAGGCAGGCAGGCAGCCAAUGGAGGUCACCGCGAAGGCAAAAGUCGCCGGCGGAGGCAGCGAAGGUCAAAUCGAAGGUUGCCCAGUUUCCAAGCCUCCUCUGCCGCCUCUAUCCUCCCAGCCAGCCCACCAGUUCGAUUGCUCUCUCUCGUGGACCAGUUCUGCUCCUGGCAAGGACUUCUUGCACAACGCUCACGUGGCAACAGCAGUGGCUGCAUCAUCCUGCCACCAGCAACAAGUUAUAUGGAAACACUCGCAGAAAACGCUAUAGUAUCCAAUUAAUACUCAACAUGAAAGUAUUAAUUAAGGUUCUUUUAACAGUUGUAGAAAAGUAUGAAGUAACAUAUUUAUAUGUUCAUUAAAAUAAAUUGCUAGUUCAUGUUUUAUGGUCUGAAAAUUAACAACAUUUUCCUUGCAAGUGCACAUUCAGCUCAAAAGUUUGCCAGUGCUUUGACAUCAUUUGUCCCUCGGGUUACACAACGCAGCAGCGCCGGAAAAAGAGAAAAAAUAUAAUAAAACCGAUUUGUUUACGCAAAUCUCGGCAGCAGUAGCUGAAAUUUAGAGAUGCGGUGGAGGAUUAGGGGAAGGGGGAGGCAAACUUGCAACGUGACGCAGUUUUAGCAAACAAAACGAAUCUGCGCUGCCUGCGGUUUCCACUCGUAUUUGUGUUUUAGUUGCCCCUCCUCAGCUUUUCCAAUUUCUGUGUCUGUUGCAUAAAAGAUUCAGCCAACUGUAAAUGGGGGUGGAGGUGGGGGAGCAGGGUGCAUGAACCUAAAAGGGGGCGUCGUAUCGAAUGAUUUGCGGGGGCGUUUGCCCCCGAUGCAAGCGAUCUGCUCUUGGGGAUCCAAAUUGAAUUGGAUUCGCUUAUUCAAAGAAAUAUCGUGAUUGGACGAACUGUAAAAAAAACAAAUAUUCCAAACUACCAUUAUACAUUAGAAUGUCGAUGCUAAAUAUAUUUUUGCAAAAUAUCCACAUAUACAACUUAUAAGACCCUUUCCACUUCUUUUGGGAUGUAGAAUUCCCCAAGGUUUUCUUGGGUUUUUUCUUUAGUUAUACGAAGUUAACCCCUUGCUGCCCCAAUCAUUCCCUGUUACCACUAUCGCUGAUGUUUGUUAUCGGUUAAUGGUUGAUCGCUCAACGAGUUCAUUGCGGUUUUUAAGCAGAAAACUGAUAAACGCCACGGGACUGUGGGACUGGAUGUGAUAUUGGUUUGGGUUCUGAGUCGACUUGGCAUCACAAAGGUUUCUCUUCAUAGAUUUUUGUGGUAAUUGCAGUAAUCACAUAAGCACAACUACAGAAAGCUAGUUAGCAAUUAUAAGCUAACUCGAGGGGAAUAAGUCCGAUGUUCGGGAGCUAUUAUAGUUAUACAUUUUCGAGUUUUGGAGAAAGUUUCGAGAAUUCUUUGGCUGUGUGACUUUACACGCCGCGUUGGUUUUUGGCUCCAUAUGUAUGAUUUCAAAACGAAAAUGCAAAUUCACCACUUUGGUUUAUGUGCUUUUGUUAAAAUGCAGCCAAAAACCUUGCAGCGGAAGUCGAACAAAGCGAAAAACGAGCAUAAUUAUAUACCAUCGAGAAAUUCAAAAUAAAUUAUUUACAAAACGGAAGCGGAAAGGCGCUAAAUGAAAAAGAGGGAAGGCAGCAAACGGGCUAAAUACAAAAAAAAAAAAACAGAGGUGCGAGGGGAAAACACUGUGAAAGCAACAGGUUAGUUGGCUUGGACCCAACUUGUCUGAACUCCGGCUUUAGCUAUAGCUUCGUGCUUGGGAUCUAUAGCUCCUCCUAUAUGGUUGCCGUUGAUGUGGAUUUUGAUGUUGUUGUUGCUGCUGUUGCAGUGCGUUUGCCGCAUAUUAAAUGCGCUGAUUAAUCGACGCAAACAAUGAACAAGGAACGGGGAAGAAGUGCAGUGGCGGAUCGGAAAAAACGAGGACAAGAACCGGGAGAAGCUUACACUGAAAUCAAUAAAAACACCUGAUAACAUUUCUUAUUUUACGUUUAAAAUAGAGUUUGCUCAAAUAGCCAAAAAGUGUUACUGAAAUGUUGUAACUGCCACUUAGAAGCUACCAAACAAGUUGUAGCCAACUAAUGUAUAUGAUUGCAAACUUUAACCGCAUUAUAAUGAAUAUGCAUUAUCACGAUAUGAUAUAGAAAACCGGGAAUCAAGGUGGCCGCCAUGAAAUCACAUUGCUGUAACACUAUAAUUUCUUUUUCAGUGUAUCGCAAUCACGACGAGGGGCUUUCGGGGUGGCUGGGAUGGGCGUUUGGGCGAAAAGUGGGCGGCUGGCGGGGAUGGUAGUAUAAAUAUUUGUCGCUGCAAUGAGAGCAAUGCACGGGCAAGCAUUUCCACUUGUCAACGCACCUGACGAAGCCAGCAGCAGCAGCAACAACAACAACAUAGGUGGCACCUACAAAAAAUGAACCUACAGACACGAACAAAAACAAGUUCCAAAAGCAGCAGAAAAACAGCAGCAGCAGCAGCGACAAUUGCUCGGCCAACAAAGUUGCCGGCGACCUCUCCGCCCCCUUUCCACCUUUUCCCCCCUUUCACCCCCCUGCAAUCAGUGUGAAAUGGGAGCAGGCAGAACGUGCAAGAACAACGGAGAAAGUCGACGUUGAAACCCGAGAAGAAAGAGACGUGGAAGGCAGAGCAAUUACCCAGAAGCUUCGUGAUUCUUCUGCUGCAGCUUCUUCUGGCCAUCAAUUGUUAUGUAUGUUGCUGCUGUUGUCAAUGUUGCUGCGGGCUACAUGCCACAUGUCCGAUAGUCGAUGGAUCUGCUUGUGUUGCUUCUUUUCCUUCUAAUUUUAUUACUGCCGUUGCUGCUCCUGCGUUUUUCAUAGAUGUGGGUUAUACUACUGCUGCCGCUCAUGGGACUUAUGUUGCAUAGACACAGCUUUGUUUGCUUGAAGUGUUUUCACUGAUGUUGCAGCUUGUUUUCCAUACAUAGGUGUUCCUGAUGGUGCCGCACUUUCGUGCUAGAGACGUUGCAUUUAUGGCUAUUGCUGCUUUAUGUAUUUGUGCACUUACUGUUGCUGAUUCUUCUGAUUAUGUAUCUGACUUUGCUGCUGCUGCUGGCGUUGCAUAUUUCAUGGCCUGUGUUGCAUAUUUAACACCCGAUGGCAAUCUUGCACUCAUUUGCAUACUUCACCCGCCACUAGCCCCCUUUCCACCCACCCAAACCACUGUGAUGUUCCCAACCACAAUCAGAAGACAAGUUAUCCCAGGGAAAAGGAGCAGGAAAGAAGCGGCGACGAUCUUUAAAAUUUCAGAUAAUGUCCGAUAUGGCACUCGUGCAACAAAUUGCAGAGACAUGUUGCUGCUGCACGAAGAAGCGGGGCAUGGAAACAAACUGUCGCCUUUCUAAAAAACGAAGCAGAAAAAAUCACAUGGGUACUUUCACAACUUCAGGCAAGAGAUGUACAAAAAACAAGAGAUAAAGGAGAGGCGCUCAAAAAGCUUCGUUUCAUAUUAAUAGAUCCCCCGAUCGGUGUAAAGAUAUACUAAAAAGUCAUUAGUAUGUGAUCAACUCGUUCGCUAAGCUUCUGCCCACUUUUAAUCAGCGCAAUGGUUUCAGGUUCUCCCACCAAAUCGAUUUUGUAUCUCAGUUAGCGACUAUCCACCAAGUUAGACGGGUUCUCGAGUCAAUCCAAAAUGCAUCGUUAGCUCCAGCUGGACAUGGCAUCGUUGGCUAAUGAUGAUUGAAUCGAUGGCCCGGCAACAACGGGUGCUGCAUGCAACAUGUUGCCGAGGAACGCCAUUUACAUAUUUUCCAAAUGGCAAUCGGAAGUUCGUAUUUUCGCAUUUUCCACGCUUAGCCAAAUGGAAAAUGCAAUAAAUCAAAUGCACCAACGGCGGCAACAACAACGCUUCAGUGAAUUUCUUGCUUCGAGUUGGCAGCGCAAAAUAAGAGUUGCCACGUUUAUAUAUCUUGGCAACAAUAUGGCCAAAAGCCGAGGCCACAAUGGCGAUAACGAAUCUAGAAAUACCCUUGAUUGCAGGAUAUUUCCACGAAGCCCUUGGCCAUAUAAGAAUUUCUCAUAAGUGAACUUGUUACAUUCUAAUUGGGCACAUUUGCUUCAAAUUAGUUAUUCUAUAAAAGUCUCUUUUGAAUGUACAACAAGAAUAGUUUCUGUAAUUAACAACAUUCGAAACUGCCCGACUUCCAGGCGAAUUUCCAGGGGUAUCCAGAGUAAGCAACAACAACGUGCUGAAUAAUGCUGAAGUUACUGCAAUUGUUGUUGCUUUAAUUGUUUAAGUUUUUCCUACAGCUGCCGUUGCUGUUGUUGCUUUUCCAUUUGUGUAAUUGCAUUGCACACUUGAUUGCAUUCAAGACGUCGACUGAGGCAGCGCAGUCCACUGCAAUGACGCCAAUAAAGCCAGCGCCCAGCAACAACAAAUCCCCAACGAUCGUUCCCCCCUUUCCAUUCGAUAUCGCUAUUUCUCUCGGUGCACAGCAAGAAAAUGCGGGCAGCUCAGUGCUGAAAUGCUAUUUCAUAAGAAAAUAAAUAGAAACAAAGCUGAAUGAUAAAGCGGGUCUGGACUGUGAAA
rnacentral:sRNA from 1 species